UGGGAACGUGCCUUUUGGUUCGGAACAACCCAGGGAAACUUGGGCUAAUACCGGAUAAGCCCUUACGGGGAAAGAUUUAUCGCCAAAAGAUCGGCCCGCGUCUGAUUAGCUAGUUGGUGAGGUAACGGCCACCAAGGCGACGAUCAGUAGCCGGCUUGAGAGAGUGAACGGCCACAUUGGAACUGAGACACGGUCCAAACUCCUACGGGAGGCAG
rnacentral:rRNA from 1 species